CAUUGGGUUGGACUGUUUUCUGAUUACAAUUCAGGGUCUUGACCUGUCCACGGGAUCUGCGGAUGAGGUCAUUCCCUGUUGAAGAUGCACUAGAGUUUGCGAAAAAUCAUACCUAACCCACAAAUUACAGAUAGUGGAAGGAGCUAACCAUUCCUACACUUCGCCAUCAAACUGAGUUAGCGUCAAUAGUUUUGGACUUCAUCAAAAACUGCUCUGCAACAAGACUAGCCCUGCUCACAGCCAAGUGCAUGGCAAAUCUGCUGAUGCUUAUGCACUUUUGGAUAUGGUUAUUCUUUGGAACAGUUUUUCAAAGGCAAUUUUUGAAAAGUUCUGUAUCAGGCACUUGAAGCAGCAAGGAGUUUAACACAAUUAGUUAGUAAUUUAAGCAUAAUUCAAGCAUUAGAGUACCAUUCCAGCAUGUUGUGGAGAUCAGCGAAAAUCUCUAUAUUAUUGGAAAAGGAUUACUUGAGCACGUGAAACACAUUGAUCUUGAGAGAUUUCUUGUGUACAAGCAUAAAAUUCUGUCACUUUUUAUUACUGGAAUUACAGAAGUUACUGGGAUUAAAACCCAACUUAAUUAUAAUAGUCCUUUCAGUAUGUUUAA